rnacentral:rRNA from 1 species
UACGAAGGGGGCUAGCGUUGCUCGGAAUUACUGGGCGUAAAGCGCACGUAGGCGGCUCUUUAAGUCGGGGGUGAAAUCCUGGAGCUCAACUCCAGAACUGCCUUCGAUACUGUAGAGCUUGAGUUCGGGAGAGGUGAGUGGAACUGCGAGUGUAGAGGUGAAAUUCGUAGAUAUUCGCAAGAACACCAGUGGCGAAGGCGGCUCACUGGCCCGAUACUGACGCUGAGGUGCGAAAGCGUGGGGAGCGAACCGG